rnacentral:rRNA from 1 species
CCUACGGGAGGCAGCAGUGAGGAAUAUUGGUCACUGGCCGAGAGGCUGACCCAGCCAAGUCGCGUGAGGGAAGACGGCCCUACGGGUUGUCAACCUCUUUUGUCGGGGAGCAAAGCGAGUCACGUGUGCCUCAUUGCGAGUACCCGCAGAAAAAGCAUCGGCUAACUCCGUGCCAGCAUCCGCGGUAAUACGGAGGAUGCGCACGGUAUCCGGAUUUAUUGGGUUUAACGGGUGCGCAGGCGGAGGUGCAAGUCAGCGGUCAAAUUGCGGGGCUCAACCCCGUACUGCCGUUGAAACUGCAUCCCUUGAGUGCGCGAGAAGGAUGCGGAAGGCGUGGUGUAGCGGUGAAAUGCAUAGAUAUCACGCAGAACUCCGAUUGCGAAGGCAGCAUACCGGCGCGCAACUGACGCUCAUGCACGAAAGCGUGGGUAUCGAACAGGAUUAGAUACCCGGGUAGUC